GACUGAGAGAUGGAAUGCUGGAUUGGAGGUCAAAGAACAGACGUUAGAGAAUUCUUUAAAUCAGAAUAAAGAAUCUUCAGAAGAAUCCAAUUUGGAAUCUACAAGAACAGCAAAAAGGGUAGUCUCAGAUGAGAAGAAUCCACAAAGACUGGAGCCUACAUCCAGGAAAUUUCAAAACGGCUAGCUAGAUGGUCCAGCAUCACAAACUAUUCCAGCUGAGACUUCAGUGAAACAGGUCUACUCCUGGAAACACCUAGAUUCUACUUCAAAGAUGAUAAUGGGCAUCAAAGAACCUUCUUCUGGACUUUGCUUCAUGUGUGGCAAGCUAGCCACUGGGCAAGAAACUGCCCUUGCUUCAACUGCUGAUGGUAUGCUGUUUGAACUGGAAAAAAGAGAUGCAGGGAAGUCGACUGCUGAGAUUCACCAAGACAGGGUAACAAGUCCUUCAUAUUUCCUGCUUCACAGAAAAGUCUGUCAGAUGUUCUGGGUCAUAAGGUCAUCGAUGAUACUCCAAAACAGAAAUUUGGACAGACUAUCCAGGCAACCAACUUUCUCUGUCAUUUCCAUAGUUGUGGAAGCUGCUUGCCUGCACUUCUGAAAUACUCAGCUUAUCUGGAUGUACAGCUGCAUAAUGCUUGGCAUGAUGAUGCACUGAGCAGGCUAAAGCAGGAAGACGGCAGGGAUUCCAUGAUCAGCCUGGACCGCGACCGGCAAGUGUAAGACCACCUAGAGCUACUCGCUAACAUCUUGUCUCAAACAAACAGUACCACCACCAAUAACUCUAGAUUUUGAGGGAUUUUCCCAUUUUGCUCUAAAGAUAUCAUUCCAUAUUUGCCUUGGUACCUGUUAAUAAGAAAUCUGUUUUAGUCCACUGUCA